rnacentral:lncRNA from 1 species
CAUCCAAGCAGAACUUUUAAUCACCAUUGCCGGACAACUCAAGAUGCUCAUUCUUUGAAUCAUUUUUGAGAAAUCUCAUUCUUUUGACCUUGGUAUGGUGUGAUUUGAGUCAAGAACCUGUUUGUGAACCGAACCCGGUCCGGCGCAUGUCAUGUCUGUCCAAUGCAAUUAUUCACCCUCCUCCAUCCAUUCUGUCAUAACCACCCUCAAUCACCACACACCCUACAUUUCUAACCUAUCCACUUCUAUGCUUCCAGAGGACAUCAUCAUCAUUUCCCCACCAAACUUACGUGACCAAACAUCAUGGAAGGAAUUGGAGUUAUUAUUCCAUGAAUCCAUCUCCUAUGGAUCUAUGCUUUCCCACAAAGUAAAGGCACUGCUGCAGGGAGUGAGCGUGGAUCCUUUUGUGGGCUCUGCACUACCAAAAGUUUAGGAUUUGGCUACGUACAAAGGGUGACAGAGAAGGACCAUCUGAAGUUUGUGGCAUGUGUCACAUCUAAUGGUGGACCCUUCCACUUUGAUUCCAUCAAAAAGACAGUGUAGUGUGAGCUGUGACAAUCUGACAAGGGUGCUACCACUGUCUGCUCCUGCAAAGUAGUGACUACUCAUUAAUCCCCAAGUAUCUGAUUUGUUCUUUCAGUAUGUGGAAGCAAGAGUUCCUGUUAUCAAUCCUUUAGAAUGUGCAAUAAGAAAAUGUAGCAUCUUACCAAAUGCAUGCCUUUUAAAGACAAAGGUUUUGUUGUAUGUAGUAGUACUUUCAUAUAAGAUAAAAGAUUAGUGUCUUCCAUGCAUUUUGAGCAAAACACUGAAAUGCUCUGAAUGAAUUUCUACAGAUCUACUUUGUCUAUCUUGAUUAACUCCAAAACACCUUUAGGCCCUACUCUAUGCAAUUGAAGAAGAAACAAUUUGUGAUUCUUUUUGACGAUUUUGCCAGUAACUUUAUUGAUAAUGGGAACAAAUACACUUCUAUUUUGUAACAUGCACUUGCUCCUUUAUUUUUUUGGUUUCCCCUUCCUCAAGAACUAUCCAUGGAGAGGUUGGCAUUUUUGCAUUUAAAAGAUGAGAGUACAGUUACAUAAUAUAUACCAUACAAGUGAAUAUUUAGCUUAAUUCAUUUCCACAUAUUUCUCAAGAUCAGAUGUAUUUGAUGGUAGUAUUUGCAACAUUCAAUGGAAUAAGUGUGGCAAGCAAUGCUUAAUGGGUGGAUGACUCGAUCUCUUCUCGCAAAUUAGGACAUAACAAAAUACAUUUUUUUCUUGAAAAAUUCAGUAGUUAAUUUUAGAUUCCUAAUUUACUAGUUGCUAGUAGUUCCUAAUGCAAUAUUCAACCACAAGAAAUGCUUUGGCCACCCUUGCUAUGUUCAGUUACUCAAAGGUAUUGUCUUAUAUGAAAGGCGAAAUGGCUUGGCUUUCUUUGUGUCUGUAGUAAGAGAGAUACGUGGUAGCAGGGAUGGUGACAGCACAAAUUGAAACUUCUCUGGAAACUGUAGGUGAAACAAAACAAAAACAAAAAAUCUUCUCUAGCAAUUAACUCUUGAAGGUCCUUUCACUAAUUAAAAGGUAAAAUGGCGAAAAAAUUUGUCGAUCUUCUAGCAUCUUGGAGCAUGAUGACAGAAAAUGAAUAUUUUUUUUUAAAAUACACACACACACACACACACACACAUAUAUAUAUAUAUAAGAUCCCUACCAAAUCAAGUUAUAGGAUUGGUUGCCUCCUCACUUGUUUCUCAUCAGGCUUAGCUUAUAGAUUCCACCAAAAUCAUACCAUACCAAUGACCAUAGAGCAACCAAAGCUCGAGAGCUUGACUAUAAAAUGAGACAAAGUCGUUGCUAUCUGAAGUUAGGAUUGAGACAUGUUACCUAGUGGUUAGGAUGUAAGCGUUUUAACCUCCCUCAUUUGUCUUCCUUCCAUGCAUCUAUUCUCGAGAGAUUUAUAAAAUAGUGGAUGCCUUAUCUUUUC